GACGAACGCUGGCGGCGUGCCUAAUACAUGCAAGUCGAACGAAACUUUCUUACACCGAAUGCUUGCAUUCACCGUAAGAAGUUGAGUGGCGGACGGGUGAGUAACACGUGGGUAACCUGCCUAAAAGAAGGGGAUAACACUUGGAAACAGGUGCUAAUACCGUAUAUCUAUAAGGAUCGCAUGAUCCUUAGAUGAAAGAUGGUUCUGCUAUCGCUUUUAGAUGGACCCGCGGCGUAUUAACUAGUUGGUGGGGUAACGGCCUACCAAGGUGAUGAUACGUAGCCGAACUGAGAGGUUGAUCGGCCACAUUGGGACUGAGACACGGCCCAAACUCCUACGGGAGGCAGCAGUAGGGAAUCUUCCACAAUGGACGCAAGUCUGAUGGAGCAACGCCGCGUGAGUGAAGAAGGUCUUCGGAUCGUAAAACUCUGUUGUUAGAGAAGAACACGAGUGAGAGUAACUGUUCAUUCGAUGACGGUAUCUAACCAGCAAGUCACGGCUAACUACGUGCCAGCAGCCGCGGUAAUACGUAGGUGGCAAGCGUUGUCCGGAUUUAUUGGGCGUAAAGGGAACGCAGGCGGUCUUUUAAGUCUGAUGUGAAAGCCUUCGGCUUAGCCGGAGUAGUGCAUUGGAAACUGGAAGACUUGAGUGCAGAAGAGGGGAGUGGAACUCCAUGUGUACGCGGUGAAAUGCGUAGAUAUAUGGAAGAACACCAGUGGCGAAAGCGGCUCUCUGGUCUGUAACUGACGCUGAGGUUCGAAAGCGUGGGUAGCAAACAGGAUUAGAUACCCUGGUAGUCCACCGCCGUAAACGAUGAAUGCUAGGUGUUGGAGGGUUUCCGCCCUUCAGUGCCGCAGCUAACGCAAUAAGCAUUCCGCCUGGGGAGUACGACCGCAAGGUUGAAACUCAAAGGAAUUGACGGGGGCCCGCAACAAGCGGUGGAGCAUGUGGUUUAAUUCGAAGCAACGCGAAGAACCUUACCAGGUCUUGACAUCCUUUGACCACCUAAGAGAUUAGGCUUUCCCUUCGGGGACAAAGUGACAGGUGGUGCAUGGCUGUCGUCAGCUCGUGUCGUGAGAUGUUGGGUUAAGUCCCGCAACGAGCGCAACCCUUGUUGUCAGUUGCCAGCAUUAAGUUGGGCACUCUGGCGAGACUGCCGGUGACAAACCCGGAGGAAGGUGGGGACGACGUCAAGUCAUCAUGCCCCUUAUGACCUGGGCUACACACGAGCUACAAUGGACGGUACAACGAGUCGCAAGACCGCGGGGUUUAGCUAAUCUCUUAAAGCCGUUCUCAGUUCGGAUUGUAGGCUGCAACUCGCCUACAUGAAGUCGGAAUCGCUAGUAAUCGCGAAUCAGCAUGUCGCGGUGAAUACGUUCCCGGGCCUUGUACACACCGCCCGUCACACCAUGAGAGUUUGUAACACCCAAAGNCCGGUGGGGUAACCGCAAGGAGCCAGCCGUCUAAGGUGGGAC
rnacentral:rRNA from 1 species